rnacentral:rRNA from 1 species
CCUACGGGAGGCAGCAGUGGGGAAUAUUGCGCAAUGGGCGAAAGCCUGACGCAGCGACGCCGCGUGAGGGAUGAAGGUCUUCGGAUCGUAAACCUCGGUCAGCAGGGAAGAACGGUCACUGUGCUAAUCAGCAGUGAAUUGACGGUACCGGCAAAGGAAGAACCGGCUAACUCCGUGCCAGCCGCCGCGGUAAUACGGAGGGUGCGAGCGUUAAUCGGAAUUACUGGGCGUAAAGCGCUCGUAGGCGGUAUGUCAAGUCAAGGGUGAAAUCCCCGCGCUCAACGUGGGAACUGCCUUUGAAACUGGCAAACUGGAGUGUGUGAGAGGAUAGUGGAAUUCCAGGUGUAGGAGUGAAAUCCGUAGAUAUCUGGAGGAACAUCAGUGGCGAAGGCGACUAUCUGGCACAUAACUGACGCUGAGGAGCGAAAGCGUGGGUAGCAAACAGGAUUAGAUACCCGGGUAGUC